rnacentral:rRNA from 1 species
AUUGAACGCUGGCGGCAUGCCUAACACAUGCAAGUCGAACGGCAGCACAGCAGAGCUUGCUCUGUGGGUGGCGAGUGGCGGACGGGUGAGUAAUGCAUCGGGAUCUACCUCAACGUGGGGGAUAACGUAGGGAAACUUACGCUAAUACCGCAUACGUCCUACGGGAGAAAGCAGGGGACCUUCGGGCCUUGCGCGGUGAGACGAACCGAUGUUCGAUUAGCUAGUUGGUGAGGUAAUGGCUCACCAAGGCGACGAUCGAUAGCUGGUCUGAGAGGAUGAUCAGCCACACUGGAACUGAGACACGGUCCAGACUCCUACGGGAGGCAGCAGUGGGGAAUAUUGGACAAUGGGCGCAAGCCUGAUCCAGCAAUGCCGCGUGUGUGAAGAAGGCCUUCGGGUUGUAAAGCACUUUUAUCAGGAACGAAAUACCACGGGUUAAUACCCUAUGGGGCUGACG